AUUGAACGCUGGCGGCAGGCCUAACACAUGCAAGUCGAGCGGAUGACGGGAGCUUGCUCCUUGAUUCAGCGGCGGACGGGUGAGUAAUGCCUAGGAAUCUGCCUGGUAGUGGGGGACAACGUUUCGAAAGGAACGCUAAUACCGCAUACGUCCUACGGGAGAAAGCAGGGGACCUUCGGGCCUUGCGCUAUCAGAUGAGCCUAGGUCGGAUUAGCUAGUUGGUGGGGUAAUGGCUCACCAAGGCGACGAUCCGUAACUGGUCUGAGAGGAUGAUCAGUCACACUGGAACUGAGAAACGGUCCAGACUCCUACGGGAGGCAGCAGUGGGGAAUAUUGGACAAGGGGCGAAAGCCUGAUCCAGCCAUGCCGCGUGUGUGAAGAAGGUCUUCGGAUUGUAAAGCACUUUAGGUUGGGAGGAAGGGCAGUAAGCUAAUACCUUGCUGUUUUGACGUUACCGACAGAAUAAGCACCGGCUAACUCUGUGCCAGCCGCCGCCGUAA
rnacentral:rRNA from 1 species